CUACGGGCGGCUCCAGUGGGGAAUAUUGCACAAUGGAGGAAACUCUGAUGCAGCAACGCCGCGUGGAGGAUGACACUUUUCGGAGCGUAAACUCCUUUUAUAUAGGAAGAAGAUGACGGUACUAUAUGAAUAAGCGCCGGCUAACUCCGUGCCAGCAGCCGCGGUAAUAGCGGAGGUCGCAAGCGUUACUCGGAAUCACUGGGCGUAAAGAGCGUGUAGGCGGAUUAAAAAGUCAGAAGUGAAAUCCUAUAGCUUAACUAUAGAACUGCUUCUGAAACUCUUAAUCUAGAAUAUGGGAGAGGUAGAUGGAAUUUCUGGUGUAGGGGUAAAAUCCGUAGAGAUCAGAAGGAAUACCGAUUGCGAAGGCGAUCUACUAGAACAUUAUUGACGCUGAGACGCGAAAGCGUGGGGAGCAAACAGGAUUAGAUACCCCCGUAGUC
rnacentral:rRNA from 1 species